UACGUAGGGUGCGAGCGUUGUCCGGAAUUACUGGGCGUAAAGAGCUCGUAGGUGGUUUGUCGCGUUGUUCGUGAAAACCGGGGGCUUAACCCUCGGCGUGCGGGCGAUACGGGCAGACUUGAGUACUGCAGGGGAGACUGGAAUUCCUGGUGUAGCGGUGAAAUGCGCAGAUAUCAGGAGGAACACCGGUGGCGAAGGCGGUUCUCUGGGCAUGACCUGACGCUGAGGCACGAAAGCGUGGGGAUCAAACAGG
rnacentral:rRNA from 1 species